GGUGGGCACCGAGGCGGUGCUGGAACUGGCCGGCGGUGGACGGCGGAACUGGAACUGCGGCGGCAAGGUAAGAUCUAUGCGGCAGCAGGUUUGGGGGUGGAAGUCGCCGGUGAGAGGAGUGGUUCCGGCGGCGGUGAGAGCUCCCAAGUGCACAAAUCUAUAUGAGUUGAGUUGUGUUUCGGGACGGAUGAAAAACCUGCCAAGUAUUUUCGAUCUUCUUGUUCUGCAUCUCUCCUUAUUAUUCUCCACGAAAACCUGCCAAGUAUGUCAACCGCCCGGCUAGCUAGAGACCGCCAAUGUCGCUUC